rnacentral:lncRNA from 1 species
AGGGAGGAGAAGGGUUAGGGUAUCGAGGGGGAAGUUCAUGUAGCUUUAUAAGGCCUCGGGAGGCGAGCUUGAGCCACAGGAUCAUGGAGAAAGGGAGAUCGGCGGAGGGGAUGGCGUCGUACAACAGUGACGACAGCGAGGUAGGAGACGGUCGCUUUGUGGGCUAGGUAGCGAGAGAAGAGAGGAGAUGGGCCUUCGAGAGAGAGAGAAG